CCGCUGGCCCAACCAUUUCCCCCCAAAUCAAACCCUAGUUCCCAAUCCUCCUCCCCAACCAACACCGUCGUCGCCGCCGCCGACCACCUCCUCCCUGGACCGCGCCCUCCAUCGCCGACCACAUCCACCCACGACCGUGCUCUCCACCUCCCAUCCCUCCGCCGACCCAACCGCCCCUUCUCCAGUGAAGAAAUGCUUGAUCUCGGCUAGCGGCUGGUAGUGGCAAGUGCCUUCAUGACGGACUUGGUAGCUCCCGGAUGCUCCUUCUCCAAAGCCUUGGGCAGCGCACCGCCGGCACAUCUCGCCACCGUUCUCGCGCCUGGUCGUUGUCCUCAGCCCAGGUCGCUGCAGGUUGCUACCGUUCUCGUCCUCGACCAGGUCGCCGCCUUCCUUACCUAGGUCGUCGGCCUUGCUCUUCCUUAUCCAGGAGCUCGAGGCUCGCCUCAGAUCGACCGGCUUCCAGCUCCAGCCUCCCCUAGGUAUCCUCCACCGCCUGCUGCUACUUCUCUCCUCCGACGGCUGCAGCAAGCCAUUCCUGCUGGUGCUCGCCUCAGCCACUGACCAUGAGGCAGAAGAAGUCCGUCACAAGUUCUUUCCUAUGGUUGCAGGUGUAUGAGACUUCGGAGCUUCUAUAUGCAACAGCAAGAAGUGAGGAGGAACAAAUGAACCAUAAAAAGCUUAAAUUUGAACUCUGUUGGUAAUCUGCUGUUUUGGAAGUGGAUAAGUCAAUGGCAAAAGCAGCAACGUGGCCACAAGGAAGCUGAGGAGGUUUUCCAAAGAUACACAAGUUAAUGGAGGUUUGUAAGAUCUACAAGCGGUUGUCAAUUUUGGAAGAUCUACAACGACUGAAGGUGUGGAAGACCUAUAAUUAAGUUGGUGUAGUGAUAAUGUAGUGCACCUAGUUUGUUGAACCUGGAGUACUUUUUGUGCCAGCACAACGUCCUUAUGUAUGGCCCUUUUCUGUAUGUAUGUAUGUAUCCAGAAACAUAUGUAUCUGACAUGUUAUGUUUAUAUGACAUGUUAUGUUUAUAUCGAAGGAAAGCUUUAAGGUUUUGGAUGA